AUUUUCAGUUGACUGUGCGAGCUGGGGAUACUGUCGAGCUCCUCUAUGAACCGGAAGACUGUUUUUCAGAGAAAAUCCUAUGGCGCCGAUGGUGUUAUGUAAGGAGUUUGGUACCUGCAGAACAUGGCAAGACAGGCCUAAUCCCGCUCUACUGCCUGAAAAAAUACACUUAUCUUUACCCUCCGCCGUUUGAGACCAGGAUGUUUCAUGCGAACUAAAGGAAGCACCAGAUGUUCUCUUUAAAUAUGGUAUUUUGGCAUCGGAGCAAACGGUGGUCUGUUAGGAUUGGACAACUGGACGUCACAUUACUCUAUGGCGUGAUUUCUGUCCUGAAAAAUACGCUAACCAACGAUGAGUAGAACUAGUGAUGGCAACGGUGGCAUAAAUAGUAAGCGGUAGCAGUAAUUAUCUGGUGGACUGCAUUCAUCGACCUUCCGAUAUACUGUAUACAGGAGUACUAUAAAGACUGGCUCGGUAGUGAUCUUCUUUUAGGAUUUUGGGCUGUGCCGACAAUUUAUGUGAAGGCGACACCUGUAAUGUAAUGCUGGGGAUCUGGU